rnacentral:rRNA from 1 species
CGCGUAGGCGGCUUGCCAAGUCAGUGGUGAAAUCCCGCAGCUUAACUGCGGAAGUGCCUUUGAUACUGGCGAGCUCGAGGGAGGUAGGGGUAUGUGGAACUUCUGGUGGAGCGGUGAAAUGCGUUGAUAUCAGAAGGAACGCCGGUGGCGAAAGCGACGUACUGGACCUCUUCUGACGCUGAGGCGCGAAAGCUAGGGGAGCAAACGGGAUUAGAUACCCCGGUAGUCCUAGCCCUAAACGUUGGGUACUAGGUUGUGGACUAACAUGGGUUCACAGCCGAAGCAAAAGUGUUAAGUACCCCGCCUGGGGAGUAUGGUCGCAAGGCUGAA